CUGUGGUGUUUUGUAGUACAGUAACAGUAAACCUUAUGCUUUUACCACAGUAGCUCAGCAUUUUUAUACAUAGUAAAAAACAGUAACAACAACACCAUGCUUUUAAUACAUUUGAUGUACAAUUCAGAAAUCUUUAGACAUUCAGAUCCUUCUUUUUUUGGUCAGUUUUAUUCUAUUGCCGUUUUAUUUAUUUAUUUAUCUUAUUAUAUAGUCUUAUGAUAGUGGGCGGAUCUUGGGGUUUGUUGUAAAUAGUUAUACACAUACAAUGUUUAGUAAAUAAAGAAUAAAAAAAAUCAAAAAUGUGUAAUUCACAAUUUUUUUUGUCUUGCAGUUUCUUCACAUACAUCUCAUACUCCUCCAUCUACACUCUUCACAACACUUAAACCAACGGCUCUUUUAACAGCCAUCACUUGCAAAAGCUCUCCUACUUACUCACUCACUCAUUCACUCACUCACUCACUCUCCAACUCACUCAAGGUGCGUUCCAUUCGACCGUAAGUGGACUGCGAAGUGGACUUCACAGGGUAUUCGAAGGGCACUGCGCACGGCAUAGGGAAUCAGGGAACAUCGAUACAUCACUUUACAGGAAGUGGAGAGCGAUAAUCACCCAACUGUCAUUUCACGCAUCACGUGAUCACCAGUCAGAACGAUUAGCCUAUCCCCUGUAUGUCAUUAAUGCACUACUUCAAAGAUGUGAGGAAAAGAACAUACACCUGCGAGUAGUCUGUUACAUUGACUGUGUUGCUGCCUCACAUUUGCAGGCAAGUACCCUUUUUUGUGUAAAACUGAAUUAUUGUUUUUAAGAAAAAACCUUUAACUUAUUUAUGUCAUACUAUGUUCAAUCAGAAAUCAGGGGAGGGCAUAUCACACAACAUUGCAUUGGCCGUACCAGCAUUUCAUGUUUAUGGACACAAAUUGCCCUGCCAGAUGAAGUACAGUACCAGAUGGCUUGAUGGGUUUGGGCUCACAGACGGGGAAGGAAUGAAAAGGCUGUGGUCUUUCCUCCAAAGAUUUGCCAGAGUCACAAAGGAGAUGACUCCAUCUCAUCGCCUUGACCUACUGACUGAUGCCCUUUUUGCAUUAUGGACGGUGGAAAUCAACUUCAAUUCAAUUUAAUUCAAUUUUAUUUAUAUAGCGCUUUUCACAAUUGGUGAUUGUUUCAAAGCAGCUUUACAUUAAUAGAAGCAGUGGAAAGCACAGAAAAACGACAGAUAGCACAACAUAAUACACGAUAGCACAAGCAGCUAAAUUUGAUGCGGCUAUGAAUCAACAUUAUAAGCGUGCGUAUUGCUAAUGUAACGUAAAGAAGAGGGUGCUAAGUUAAGCCCAAGAGGGCUGCCUCCCCGGGUUGAAAAACCCCCUAGGAGAAAAAAAACCCCAGGCUCAGCCGGGGAAGUAAAAAAAAGUCAUAGGAGGGAAAAACCCUUGGGAGAUAUAUUUAUAUUGAAACGAUUAAGGAGAUUAGGCGGAGGUUAAGCGGGUUCUGCCGGUGGUCGUUGGUCAUGCAUCAGCUGGGCAUCACGUUGAAGGUCUGCCGGUGGGUCAGAGGUGUGCCGACUUUCACAUUUACCGGAACUGGGUCUGUUUGUCUCAUUGUCCUCGGAGAGGAGGACGAGACAUAAAGAAAGAAAAACAAAACCCAAUUAGCGUAGGGGCCAUUCAUAUGUAUACACCUGUACAUAUACACA